UGGGGUGUGGCUCAGUGGCAGAGGGCCCCCCCGCAUGUGUGAGGCACCGGGUUCAAUCCUCAGCACCCCAU
rnacentral:tRNA from 1 species